AACGUGAAGAACCUAGCCACGCCCAAGUCAUCCCGGUGCGCGGGAAGGAGACGAUCGAUCCCUUCAGUUCGGCUGGACCAGAGACAGGUGCUGCAUGGUUGUCGUCAGCUGGUGUCGUGAGAUGUUGGGUUAAGUCCCGCAACGAGCGCAACCCUCGCCGUUAGUUGCCAUCAUUCAGUUGGGCCCUCUAAGGGGUCUGCCGCUGAUAAGCCGCGAGGAAGGUGGGCAUGACGUCAAGUCCUCAUGGCCCUUACGGGCUGGGCUACACACGUGCUACAAUGGAGGCGACAGUGGGACGCAAUGGGGCAACCCUGCGCAAAUCUCAACAAGCCGUCUCAGUUCGGAUUGUGCUCUGCAAGUCGAGCACAUGAAGUCGGAAUCGACUAGUAAUAGCGGAUCAGGCAGCGCUGACGGUGAAUUCCGUUCCCACGGGUCGUUUACAUCACCG
rnacentral:rRNA from 1 species